rnacentral:rRNA from 1 species
UCAAGUUAACAAGGGCGUACAGUGGAUGCCUUGGCAGAUGAAGUCUAUGAAGGACGUGGUAAGCUGCGAUAAGCGUCGGGGAGGUGCAAACAACCUUUGAUCCGGCGAUUUCCGAAUGGGGAAACCCUGUCUCGCGCAAGCGAGACAAUCCAUAACUGAAUACAUAGGUUGUGGAAGACAACCCGGUGAAGUGAAACAUCUCAGUAACCGGAGGAAGAGAAAUCAACAGAGAUUCCCUCAGUAGUGGCGAGCGAAAGGGGAAUAGCCUAAACCUCGAUACUUGUAUCGGGGGGUUGUAGGACCGCGUGAGUAAAGUAAGAAAUCUGAAUCUUAAUUGAACUUUUCUGGAAAGAAAGACCAAAGAAGGUGAUAGUCCUGUAAAUGAAAAGAUUCGGACUUGAAGCGGUAUCCUAAGUAGUGCCGAGCACGUGAAACUCGGUAUGAAUCCGGGGGGCCCACCCUCCAAGGCUAAAUACUCUCAUCUGACCGAUAGUGAACCAGUACCGCGAGGGAAAGGCGAAAAGAACCCCUGACGGGGAGUGAAAAAGAACCUGAAACUGUAUGCUUACAAGCUACGGGAGCGCUAUGCUCCUGCGCGCAAGCGCAGGGGAAUGCGUUACCGUGUGCCUGUUGAAGAAUGAACCUGCGAGUUAUUGGAUCGAGCAAGGUUAAUUCCGGAUUGAAAGAUUCGGAAGGAGCCGUAGCGAAAGCGAGUCUUAAUAGGGCGAAUUAGUUCGAUUCAAUAGACCCGAAGCCAAGUGAUCUAUCCCUGAACAGGGUGAAGUCUCCUUAACCGGUGACGGAGGCCCGAACCUAUUGGUGUUGAAAAACCUUAGGAUGAUUUGGGGAUAGGGGUGAAAGGCUAAUCUAACUUGGUUAUUGCUGGUUCUCCCCGAAAUAGCUUUAGGGCUAGCCUGCUGUGUUAAAUAUAGGCGGUAGAGCACUGGAUAGAUUAGGUGCCUUAACCAGGUUACCAAAUUUAACCAAACUCCGAAUGCUUAUAUUCCAAAACAGCGGAGUCAGUGCGUGAGGGCUAAGCUUCACGCGCAAAAGGGGAACAGCCCAGACCGUAAGUUAAGGUCCCUAAAUUGAUACUAAGUGGUAAAGGAUGUGAAAUUACUCAGACAGCCAGGAUGUUGGCUUAGAAGCAGCCAUCAUUCAAAGAUAGCGUAACAGCUCACUGGUCAAGUGAUUUCGCGCCGAAAAUGUCCGGGGCUCAAGUAUCGUACCGAAACUACGGAUCAAUGCCGCUCUCACAAAAAUCUUACUACAUUUGGCGUCCUUUCGGCCGCCAAAUGGAAAAGGGCGUGAGAGCAUCGAACAAAUGUCAUAUAACAUAAGAUUUUUGUGAGUGCGGCAUGGGUGGUAGGGGAGCGUUCCGUAUUAGGAUGAAGGCAUACCGUAAGGAGUGCUGGACGAAACGGAAGUGAGGAUGCAGGUAUAAGUAGCGAGAAUGCCGGUGAGAAUCCGGCACGCCGUAAAUCUAAGGUUUCCUUGAGCAACGUUCGUCGACUCAGGGUUAGUCGGUCCUAAGCCGAGUCCUUCGUAAUGGAGGGGUAGGCGAAGGGUAUCCGGUUAAUAUUCCGGAACCAUAUUUGUAGCGCUAUCAAUUUUGAAAUGACGCAGGAAGGUAAACCAUCCUCGUGUUGAAUUACGAGGUUUGUCCCGAAGGAAUUUGGGAUGACCAGUUCUGAGCAAUCAGAGCGAAGUGGUCCAACUACACUGCCGAGAAAAGUUUCAAAAUGAGUUGCAGAUAUGCCCGUACCGCAAACCGACACAGGUAGAUGAGUAGAAUAUACUAAGGCGCGCGAUUGAAUCAUCGUUUAGGAACUCGGCAAAUUAGCCUCGUAACUUCGGAAUAAGAGGUGCCUGAGUAGAGCGUAUGGAAAAUAAAUCAGCAAAGAUUGGAGAAGGGGUUAUACCUUUCACAUUCGGAUACUGUUUAUCGGAAAUACGUGUUGAAAAGGUUGCAAUAAAGAGGCCCCCGCGACUGUUUAACAAAAACACAGGACUCUGCUUAAAGCGUAAGCUGAUGUAUAGGGUCUGACGCCUGCCCGGUGCCGGAAGGUUAAGAGGAGUGGUCAUUUGGACGCAAGUCCGGAGAAGCUGCGAAUCGAAGCCCCGGUAAACGGCGGCCGUAACUAUAACGGUCCUAAGGUAGCGAAAUUCCUUGUCGGGUAAGUUCCGACCUGCACGAAUGGCGUAACGAAGGGGGCGCUGUCUCAACGAUGAAUUCGGCGAAAUUGUGCUGUAAGUGAAGACGCUUACUACCCGCAACUAGACGAAAAGACCCCGUGGAGCUUUACUGUAGUCUAAUCUUGAAUUAUGGUCUUAUUUGCGUAGAAUAGGUGGGACCCUUUGAAGUCCUGGUUUUGGCCGGGAUGGAGGGAACAGUGAAAUACCACCCUAAUAUGUCUGUGAUUCUAAUUUCGUCCCAUUUAUCUGGGCGGAAAACAGGGUUAGAUGGGCAGUUUGACUGGGGCGGUCGCCUCCUAAAAUAUAACGGAGGCGUCCAAAGGUCACCUCAGCGCGAAUAGAAAUCGCGUGUCGAGUGCAAGGGCAUAUGGUGGCUUAACUGCGAGACAAACAAGUCGAGCAGAUGCGAAAGCAGGGCCUAGUGAUCCGGUGGUAUGAUUGUGGUAUUGCCAUCGCUCAACGGAUAAAAGCUACCCCGGGGAUAACAGGCUGAUUCCCUCCAAGAGUCCAUAUCGACGAGGGAGUUUGGCACCUCGAUGUCGGAUCGUCCUAUCCUGGGGCUGAAGUAGGUCCCAAGGGUUUGGCUGUUCGCCAAUUAAAAGGGUACGUGAUCUGGGUUCAAUACGUCGUGAGACAGUAUGGUCCCUAUCUGUUGCGGGUGCAUGAAAUUUGAGAGGAGCUGACCAUAGUACGAGAGGACCUGGUUGGACGAACCUCUGGCGUACCAGUUGUCGUGUCAACGGCAUAGCUGGGUAACCAAGUUCGAAACGGAUAAAUGCUGAAAGCAUAUAAGCGUGAAGCCGACCUCAAAACAAGAUUUCGCAAUUCUGAUAGCAAUAUCGGGAUAAGAAGGCCCCCCGUAGAUGACGGGGUUGAUAGGCGGGAGGUGUAAGCAUAGCAAUAUGUUGAGCUGACCCGUACUAAUAGGCCGUUCGACUUGACC